UCUACUUAGGGUCAGAGUAACUGGGGGAGCAGCUCUGAAAAUUGUUCAGAAGCCUACUCUGGAUUUUUUAUUAUAAAAUGAACUUGCCUGAAUCCUUAGGACUUUUCUUCCUUCUACAAAAAAAGACACAGAACUGACAGGAAUACUAAGCUGUCUGCACAGCUGCAAUUUAAGGAAGAAUGAAGGUUGGUGGAAAAUGUUCUGGAGCAAUGACCAACUGAUCUGGUGUUUCAUUGCUUCUUGUUUUGGAAUGUCUUGUUUUUAGCAUGCUGGACAAACAUGAAUGAGAAGCAUGUGUGUCAGACUUCAUUACUAGAGAAGCCUGUCUCCUGUGAAAAAAUCUGGUAACAGAAUCCUAAAAUAGCACCAAGAAAUGUAAACAUUCUGAUUCCCUGCCAGAAGCCAAGCUGUUUCAUUUUCAGCUUUGGAAAAGGAAGACACCUAAACUGCAGAAAAAUGAGUAAGAACAGACAUCUGGAACUUGGCGGUCCUGCAGCAGAGGCAGAGUCACAUGCUUGUUCUGAUGGCCCUGCACUGGAACGCAUACCAAUUAGCAGCCAAAACAAGAACGCAUGACCUUCAACAGGAGAGCAAACGGUAGUAUAUCUUUAAAAAGAAGAAAAUGUGGCUCACUGAAGUAGAAGUGACUAUCCCUAAGUGUCAAUAAUUUCUCUUUCCAGAAUGCAGGGAAAUGAAUGAAGCCUACACAGUGAAAUGGAAAGAACACUCUAAAACCUGAACUCUAACACUCAGCACCUGGGAGGCUAACACAGCUUUGGAAAAGGAAGAGUUCAAGGCCAACCUGGGUUACACAGUGAGACUCUAACUCAAAAACAAAACAAAGGGCUGGGGAUUUGGCUCAGCAGCAUAAGCACCUGCCUGUUGAGUGUGGGGUUAUAAAUUCAUCCCGGGUACCAAAACAAAACAAAUACCCCAAACAAACAAACAACUUGAAUUCUAGCUCUGUGUCUGUUACUUUCUAGGUUUGCAACAGAGCAAUCUAGCUUAUCACUGCCUGACCUGGGGUCCUCAUUCGGUGUACUAUAGUAAUACUUCAUAGAAUUAUUAUUUCAAAAAUCAAGAUUCUAUUUAAAUAAAAGAUUUUCACUAUCAUGAAUUAAGAACUACAGGGCAUAUAAAAUUCUAAUAGAUUGGACUGGUGUGGUGAUGCAUGCUUCUAAUCCCAGAUUUGGGAGGCUGAAGCAAGAAGAUUACUGAGUUCAAGGCCAGCCUGAACUACAAAGCAAAAACAAUAAGAGCCAGGGAUAUAGCUCAGAGGCACAAGUGCCUGCUUGGCAAAUACAAGGUCAUGUGUUCAGUUCCCAGUACCAAACCAAACCAAAGUCUCAAAGAUUAAAAUAAGAAAAAAUGAAAUGGGCUUGUACUCUUGUAAUUCCAGCACUCAGGAAGCUGAGGUGGGAGAAUCAUGAAUUCAAGGCCAGUUUAAACUUUAUAGAGAGACCCCCGUCUUAAAAAAGUAAAGAGCAAAAUAUAAAAAGAAGGAAAUAGCUAGGCAUGGUGGCACACAUCUGUAAACUUAGCCCUUGGGAGGCUGGGGCAGGAGGCUUGCCAUGAGUUCAAAGCCAGCCUAAACUAUAAAACCAGACCCUAUCUCACACAAAACAAAACAACACAUCAUCCCUAGAAAAUGAAUUCCAAUCCAAAGUGCUAAUGAACAAACAACUUUAUGUCACUCUAAGAUCUUUCAUUGCUAAAACUCAUUUCUGGAGUAUGGCAGGCUGCAGUUCCCCCAGAGAGAGAACCACCAGCAACUCCUGAGAUCCACGCCAUGUUGGAAUUUAGGAUGCUGGGAAACCAAGCAAGCAGCUCCCUUUCCUGGUAAGCCGCAGUGGUGUGGCAGGCUGUGACCCCCCCAGAGGGAGAACCACCAGUGUCUCCUGAGAUCCACGCCAUAUUGGAACUUAGGACACUGGGAAACCAAGCAACCAGCUCGCCUCCCUGCUAAGCAAAAGUGAGCCUACUGGUACACAGGCUGAGAGUCAAACAUCCACUUCCGCUACUCCCUGCCCCCGUUACCAAAUGGGAGCCAGAGAUGUGAGCAUCUCUUGGGAGACUGACCACAGUAAAUAAGGGGGAUUUUCUUCUACCAUCUCUUUGAAGGGAAAUAUUUUUAUUACUGUUUUGCUUUAUUCUGAUUAAUGGUACUGCUCUACUCAAUACUCUGUUUUGAUAAGUUCUAUAAUGUUAUGUAUUUCAUUUUAUUUUGAUAUGCGUGAUUGAAAGAACAACUACUGUGAAGAUAAUGAGAUAUAGUGUGGUAUCUAUUACUGUUAUCCCGGUAACCUACUGUGAAAUUCUGUACCAAUUUCACUACACUUUCUCAGUUGGCUUUAUUCUGUCUUGUUCUGUUGUAUUUUACUACCUUCAAUAAAUAAAUAAAUAAAUAAAACUCA